rnacentral:snRNA from 1 species
AUAACUUUAUCGGUCUUUUGACUAAUAUAUAGUAUAAUAUUUGUUUCAUCAGUUUAAUAUCUGAUUUGACGACUAUAUGUUCAUUUUGAUAUUAAAUUUAUUUCUCUCACUAAAACACAUCAAAUAUUUGAACAUUAAUCGCGAGUCUGUCGCCCUAGCGCUGGCGACCUGCCCUAACUGCUC